CUGGGCUCGAACGGCUUUCUAACGGCAGUGGAAACAUUGCUAUCCCGCAAGGGAGUAGAGUCGAGGUGCUGCAUGGCUGUCGUCAGCUCGUGUCGUGAGAUGUUGGGUUAAGUCCCGCAACGAGCGCAACCCUUGUCCCGUGUUGCCAUCAUUUAGUUGGGCACUCUCGGGAGACCGCCAGCGAUAAGCUGGAGGAAGGUGGGGAUGACGUCAAGUCAUCAUGGCCUUUAUGUCCAGGGCUACACACGUGCUACAAUGGCCGGUACAGAACGCUGCCAACCCGCGAGGGGGAGCAAAUCGUCAAAAACCGGUCUCAGUUCGGAUUGCAGGCUGCAACUCGCCUGCAUGAAGCUGGAAUCGCUAGUAAUGGCAUAUCAGAACGAUGCCGUGAAUA
rnacentral:rRNA from 1 species